rnacentral:rRNA from 1 species
UACGUAGGGUGCAAGCGUUGUCCGGAAUUAUUGGGCGUAAAGAGCUCGUAGGCGGUCUGUCGCGUCUGCUGUGAAAACUCAGGGCUUAACCCUGAGCUUGCAGUGGGUACGGGCAGACUAGAGUGCGGUAGGGGAGACUGGAAUUCCUGGUGUAGCGGUGAAAUGCGCAGAUAUCAGGAGGAACACCCGUGGCGAAAGCGGCUCUCUGGAACGGUACUGACGCUGAGACGCGAAAGCGUGGGGAGCGAACAGG